UACACACCGCCCGUCAAACCACGAGAGUUGGUAAUACCAGAAGUACGUUUCCUAACCGUAAGGAAGGCGCGUCCCAAGGUAGGACUAGCGAUUGGGGUUAAGUCGUAACAAGGUAUCCGUACGGGAACGUGCGGAUGGAUCACCUCCUUUCUAUGGAGAUAAAAACAAAACAGAUUGACUAUUAUAUUGUUCUAUUUAGUUUUCAGGGAUUAUUUAAAUAUAAUCUCUGAAAGAGAAUUGUUCUUUGAAAACUGAAUAUUAGAUGAAAAGCAUUGUAAAAGAUUAAAUAAAUCAACAAUUUUUAACAAAUAAAAAUAAUUUUACUGAAUCAAUUAUCAAUUGCUUUAAGAUUUUUUCUAAAAAAUAGUAAGGGCAUAUGGUGAAUGCCUUGGAAAAUGGAGCCGAAGAAGGACGUGAUUACCUGCGAAAAGCAUCGGGGAGCUGGAAGUGAGCUUUGAUCCGGUGAUGUCCGAAUGGGGAAACCCAAUACGAUUAAUCUCGUAUUAUCCAUAAGUGAAUACAUAGCUUAUGAGAAGGGAACCUUGGGAACUGAAACAUCUUAGUACCAAGAGGAAAAGAAAACAAUAGUGAUUCUGUUAGUAGCGGCGAGCGAACGCGGAACAGGCCAAACCAGUCUACGGGCUGGGGUUGUAGGGCAUCUUUUAGAGUUACAAAAUCAACAUAUAGUAGAAGUUACUGGGAAGUAACGGCAUAGAGGGUGAUACCCCCGUAUACGAAAUGUGUUGAUCUCGUAGAUGUACCCUGAGUACGGCGAAACACGUGAAAUUUUGUCGGAAUCCGCCGAGACCACUCGGCAAGCCUAAAUACUCCCAUUUUACCGAUAGUGAACCAGUAC
rnacentral:sRNA from 1 species